AAAUACAAAAAGUCUGUAAAAUAAAUGGUGAACCAGUGAAAUUAUUUACUGAUUUUAAUCAAAAUCAAUUCAAGAAUAGUCAUAGCUAACGUUGACGUUAAUAAAAUAUUUUUGUUAUUAAAAAUAUUUUACACUCGGGAUAUUGUGGUAAAACCAGGACAUUUUUUUUUAUCAGGAACAAGCAGUCCUCAGGUUGGAUUAUAUAUAUAUAUAUAUAUAUAUACACAUGUUGCAAACCAACUUCACCUGUGGAUGGUGAAACCACUUUAUCCCGGGAUUCACAAUAAAUGAGAAAGCUUCACUUAUCUAACUCAAAAACCA